GACGAACGCUGGCGGCGUGCUUAACACAUGCAAGUCGAGCGAUGAAGCACCUUCGGGUGUGGAUUAGCGGCGAACGGGUGAGGAACACGUGAGGAAUCUGCCUUCCACUCUGGGAUAACUCCGGGAAACCGGGGCUAAUACCGGAUAUUUUCAACUGGCGGCAUCGCCGGUUGAAGAAAGUUUUUCGGUGGAAGAUGACCUCGCGGCCUAUCAGCUUGUUGGUGAGGUAAAGGCUAACCAAGGCGACGACGGGUAGCCGGCCUGAGCGGGUGACCGGCCACACUGGGACUGAGACACGGCCCAGACUCCUACGGGAGGCAGCAGUGGGGAAUAUUGGGCAAUGGAGGAAACUCUGACCCAGCGACGCCGCGUGAGGGAUGAAGGCCUUCGGGUUGUAAACCUCUUUCAGCAGGGAAUAAGCGAAAGUGAAGGUACCUGCAGAAGAAGCACCGGCUAACUAUGUGCCAGCAGCCGCCGCCG
rnacentral:rRNA from 1 species